CGUAAAAGUGGGUGUGGCCAAAAUUGCAGCGCGCUUCGCACGCCCUUAGCACCCCCUUUCCUCAGUUCCUAGAUACGCCCCUGAUUAUUAAGUAUUGUUAUUUAUUGUUAUUCCAAAGAAGAAGGUGGGGCUGGUUUGACUACGCCCAUAGCUCCACCUUAAAAGAUGGAGGACAAUAGAAAUGCAGUGAUUCACUCAAAUCUUCCUCUUCUGAGAGAAGAGGUUCAUCAGAUCAUUCCUCUCCUCCUUCUGCUAUUCUGAGGUGAAGGUAUCUUUGUAUGGAGAUAAUCAUUUAUUGUUGUUGGGAGUCUCAGUUACUUGAAAUGGGUUUCCUUGCAAUGUUCUUAUCUCCAGUUUUGAGUUAUAGCCAGUUUCCACGUCACACGCCCACAAGCUGGACCAAUGUCUGGGGAAAUCGCUGGAUGAUAUUCCUCAUUAUGAUUGAAGCUGGUUUGAUAAAGAUGAGAGGUGAUAGCUGUUGGAGGGACUUGACUUGUAUGAACUAUCAUUAUGAGGUUUGUACAUUGUAUAUUGUAUAGUGUAUGAUGCU